CACGUAGGGUGCGCGCGUUGUCCGGAAUUAUUGGGCGUAAAGAGCUCGUAGGCGGUGUGUCGCGUCGGCCGUGAAAACCUGCAGCUUAACUGUGGGCUUGCGGUCGAUACGGGCAUCACUGGAGUUCGGCAGGGGAGACUGGAAUUCCUGGUGUAGCGGUGAAAUGCGCAGAUAUCAGGAGGAACACCGGUGGCGAAGGCGGGUCUCUGGGCAGUAACUGACGCUGAGGAGCGAAAGCGUGGGGAGCGAACAGG
rnacentral:rRNA from 1 species